CCUACGGGAGGCAGCAGUAGGGAAUCUUCGGCAAUGGACGAAAGUCUGACCGAGCAACGCCGCGUGAGUGAAGAAGGUUUUCGGAUCGUAAAACUCUGUUGUUAGAGAAGAACAAGGAUGAGAGUAACUGUUCAUCCCUUGACGGUAUCUAACCAGAAAGCCACGGCUAACUACGUGCCAGCAGCCGCGGUAAUACGUAGGUGGCAAGCGUUGUCCGGAUUUAUUGGGCGUAAAGCGCGCGUAGGCGGUU
rnacentral:rRNA from 1 species